GGAAGGUCUGUAGCUCAGUAGAGCACCUGCUUUGCAUGCAGAAGGUCCCAGGUUCAAACUCUGGCAUUUCCA